rnacentral:rRNA from 1 species
GUCUACAGCCAUGCUACCCUGAACAAGCCGGAUCCCGUCUGAUCUCGGAAGCUAAGCAGGAUCGGGCCUGGUCAAUACCUGGAUGGGAGACCACCUAGGAAGACCAGGUGCUAUAGGCG